rnacentral:rRNA from 1 species
AUUGAACGCUGGCGGCAGGCCUAACACAUGCAAGUCGAGCGGAUGAAGGGAGCUUGCUCCUGGAUUCAGCGGCGGACGGGUGAGUAAUGCCUAGGAAUCUGCCUGGUAGUGGGGGAUAACGUCCGGAAACGGGCGCUAAUACCGCAUACGUCCUGAGGGAGAAAGUGGGGGAUCUUCGGACCUCACGCUAUCAGAUGAGCCUAGGUCGGAUUAGCUAGUUGGUGGGGUAAAGGCCUACCAAGGCGACGAUCCGUAACUGGUCUGAGAGGAUGAUCAGUCACACUGGAACUGAGACACGGUCCAGACUCCUACGGGAGGCAGCAGUGGGGAAUAUUGGGCAAUGGGCGAAAGCCUGAUCCAGCCAUGCCGCGUGUGUGAAGAAGGACUUCGGACUGUAAAGCACUUUUGUUAGGGAGGAAGGACAGUGAGUUAAUAACUUGCUGUAUUGACGUUACCAACAGAAUAAGCACCGGCUAACUUCGUG